rnacentral:rRNA from 1 species
UACGGGGGGGGCAAGCGUUGUUCGGAAUUACUGGGCGUAAAGAGCUCGUAGGCGGCUUGUCGCGUCGACUGUGAAAACCCGCGGCUCAACUGCGGGCCUGCAGCCGAUACGGGCAGGCUAGAGUUCGGUAGGGGAGACUGGAAUUCCUGGUGUAGCGGUGAAAUGCGCAGAUAUCGGGAGGAACACCAAUUGCGAAGGCAGCUCGCUGGGACGUCACUGACGCUGAGACGCGAAAGCGUGGGGAGCAAACAGG